UUUGUAUCGACACCAGAGGGCUGACGUGCUUCUUCCUUCCCACUGACAGCUGCUCUUCACGCGAAGAAGGCAUCAUGUUUUGGACCAAGUUCGAGGUUUGUUUUCAUGCCGCCAAUUGUGUUCGGCCCCCUCCCACCUUCAUUUGAAGAGGACGUGUCGACGGAGCUGAAGCGGAUACGAAGGCUGCAGCAGCUGUAGAAGAGGAGGCGAGGAACUGGAAGCCAUGGCGAUGUGGAAACACUUGGUGGGCAGGAGAUUACCAGGCCACUUUUGGCAGUGGCAUUAGUGGCGAUGGUGCUGCUGCUAGUGGAGAUGUCCGGCACCUAUAGAGGCUUGUCCCCUGAUGUGCUGCUUAAUGCAACCAGCAAAGAGGAGAUCUCCGAGUUGAUUGUUCUGCGUCGUUCAGAGAUGAACGUCCAAAGGACAGGCUUCUUGGAGGGCUGCUAAGCCCUGAAUUCGACGAGGCUUCUUGCCUGAGCCGCUACCAGUCGGCACUGUACUGGAAGCAAUCAGACCACACCCCUUCUCCAUACCUCCUGCGGAAGCUUCGAAACUAUGAAUCCCUACACAGAAGAUGUGCCCCCAACACCGAGCUCUACAACAAGUCCAUAGAGCAGCUGAAGUCCAAUGCCAGCGCAGGGCCUUCGGAGUGCAACUACGUGGUGUGGCUGGAAUCCGGAGGCAUCGGCAACAGGGUCAUCAGUAUGGUCUCCACAUUCCUGUAUGCCCUCCUCAACGACAAGGUAUUCCUCCUCAAACUUCCUGAUGACUUCCAUGGCAUCUUCUGCGAGCCAUUCCCCGGGACCUCGUGGCUUCUAUCUUCAGACUUUCCUAUUCAAGACCUCGACGGGUUCGAUAUUAGUCAUCCUCAGAGUUACGGAGACAUGCUACGAACUAAGUUUGCUCUUCCUGAGAAAGCCGUUCUCCAUCUGAGCAGAUACAUUCUUCACCCUACUUAGAUUUGAUUCAUAGUUAUCUAUCUAGAUAGUUAUCAUGAUCUAGUGGUUAUAUGAUAAUUUCAAUAACUACCUCAAUCUUGAUAUAGUAGUUAUAUGUUGGUGAUGAUUGUCACUAGGUCCUAUAAAUAAAACUGUAGUACAUUUGGUAUCUUGUAAGUAUUCUUAUCAAUCCUCCUGUUUUUAAAUAUUACAUCAGUUUUCUUGAGUCGAAACGAUUCUUUUUACUGGUAUCGUAGUAUUCUGUUUUUUUCUUGCUCCUCAAUCCCCAACAUUUGUGGUAUCAGAGCCUUCUCGGGCAAAAGCUAUGAAUUUUGGAGUAUCAAGAUGAAGACUCUAUUCAAGUCUCAAGAUCUUCGGGACUUAAUAGAGAAUGGAUAUGAGGAUCCAGAUGACGAAAUCAGGCUGAGGGAGAAUAGAAAAAAGGACUCAAAGGCAUUGUUUUUCAUUCAACAAAGCUGUAUAUGAGAUGAUCUUCUCAAAAAUUACAACAGCGAUAAACUCAAAGCAAGCUUGGUUGAUACUUCAAAAUGAAUUUCAAGGCUCAUUAAGGGUGAUUAUGGUCACUUGAAAAAAGUGAAGAAAAAAUAUUUCAGGUUAAGGAGGAGUCUUCUACUUCAAAAGAAACAAAAAAUCAACAGGAAGAGGACGUGACAGAGGAGGAUUUCGUGAUAGAGGAAAUGGAAGAGGAAGAUGACACUUUGAUGGGCAUGAUGAACAAGGGCAAUCAAAUUAUGAUAAAAAAAAUUACAAGAGUGGAAUUCAAUGUCACUACUGUAAAAAGUUUGAUUACAUGAAGGCAGAUUGUUGGAAAAGAGAAAAGCAAGCAAGCUAUGUGGAGAAAAAUGAAGAAAAUAGUAAGUUGUUUAUGACUCAUUCACAAGUUCAUAAUAUCUCAAAUGAUAUUUGGUUUCUGGAUAGUGGAUGUUCUAAUCAUA